rnacentral:rRNA from 1 species
GACGAACGCUGGCGGCGUGCUUAACACAUGCAAGUCGAACGGAAAGGCCCUGCUUUUGUGGGGUGCUCGAGUGGCGAGCGGGUGAGUAACACGUGAGUAACCUGCCCUUGACUUUGGGAUAACUUCAGGAAACUUGGGCUAAUACCGGAUAGGAGCUCCUGCUGCAUGGUGGGGGUUGGAAAGUUUCGGCGGUUGGGGAUGGACUCGCGGCUGAUCAGCUUGUUGGUGGGGGAGUGGCUUACCAAGGCUUUGACGGGUAGCCGGCCUGAGAGGGUGAUCGGCCACAUUGUGACUGAGAUACGGCCCAGACUCCUACGGGAGGCAGCAGUGGGGAAUAUUGCACAAUGGGCGGAAGCAUUAUGCAGCAUCGCCGCGUGCGGGAUAACGGCCUUCUGGUUGUAACCCGCUUUCGCCUGUGACGAAGCGUGAGUGACGGUAAUGGGUAAAGAAGCACCGGCUCACUACGUG